GUUUCUGCGGUUCUGUAUGGGAGACGGAGUGAGUUCUGUUUCUUUGUCGGGCCCUGGCGCUGCUGAGGCUGAGAAGCGGCUGCUGUGAGACCUUUUGUGGUAAGGACCAGCCCAAACAGCGGGUGCUUCAUUUCUUCAGGCUCUCUUCCGCUGAGCGAGAGCUGUAGCAGAGCCUCUCAUCGGCCCGAAGCAGUGAGCUCGUGGAAGCGGUGAGUGUUUGAGAGUCGCUCGGUAAGAUCUCUCGUGCUAGGGCUCCUGUAGGGUUGCUGCUCGACUGCCUCUGUCUUUGGGAUCGGCACGGCGCCGCCGCUGGGCUCCCGUGUGGCUUUUUUAGUAGGACCGGCACGGGGCCUCCGCCCGAGACCGAGCACGAUCCCGGGGUGGCCUCGGCCACUGCGGAGUGUUUUGCGGGUGCUCUCACCCAUCCCGUUUCCAGCGGUGGGAGCGAGCAGGUUGGGACCGUGGUUUUAUUUUUUUUUCCCCGCCUCUUCCUUCCCGUGUAACUGCAGGAGCACGAUUUAGGUUCCCACCGUGGAGACCUGGCAGGGCAGCUCGCACGACUGGAGUGCUGUCGUGGAUGGCUGUGUUCCUUUUAGGAAAGACAGACCGGCCAGACGGUGGAGUCUCUCUUCGAGGGAGAGAACGGGAACGUAUCGAGCUCCACCUAGGGGUGAAUGAAGAACCAGCGGAGCGUUUGUGCGUGAGGCUGAAGAGGCAGCUGGAAAUGGUGCCCACAGCUGUGAGGCCAGUUCUCAUGGUAGGCUCCAGGAGUUUCCUGCAAUGUGUCAAAGAAGAGCCAUUUGGGGACAGGAAGGCCAGGGGCAGCCUGGAGCGUGCCAGUCGUGAGACCACAGCGUUUGGGAUCUUGUGUGGAAGCUGCAAAGCAAUGAGUAGGAUUGAAACACUGGACUUAGAGGGAGCCAGGUUUGUCCUCUUGAAGGGCCUACUUGGAGGUAACCCUUGCUCAAGCAUAGGAAGGGGUCCCGUGAAUGCUGGAGCAUUACUUCGUCCAUGCUGAGGUGCGCUGUGUCCCAAGGAGGAAGGAACUGCGCAGGAAUGGUGGGGGACCUGCAGGGCUGACUGAGGAACUUGAUGGGGAGAAGGAAGAGAGAGGCUGAGGAAGGCCAAGUCCCUCUGAGUAUCAGCUUUGGGAGGGAGGUCAAGGCUAAUGGAAGUUUGUCAACAGGAGAGACUGGAGAAAUUGCAGGCCUGCGCUUUACAAGGCGGAGGCCUGAGUAAUGAGGCCUGAGGCGGAGGCCUCUUGGGUUCAG
ensembl:lncRNA